AUAAUUUCUCUUUAAGGACCCCGUGACAGACGUUUUUUUUUUCUGACGUCAUGACUCACGAGCCUUUCUCGAGUUUUCUGCUCGGCCGCCAUUAAUUUCCCCUGGACUCGGAUGAAUUAAGGUAGGUUGGAAAUGUUUUAAUUAAUAUACUCGAUAAUGCAAAGGUUGAACAUGUGUUUUAGCUGUUUAUGAGUUAAUUAACGUUGUUUGUGAACAUGAAUACUAACGAAAUCGUAUCUAACCGAAUUUUUGAAUUUGCAGGCCGCGCAAAUUCAAACAUUCGGUUAGUUACGAUUUCAACUUUUCUAUUCUAUACAAGAUGUUGGAUUUACUCGUUUUAUUCUAAAGAAAUGUAUUCAGUUUGGACCAUGUAAGUAUGUCUCUAAAUAAUUUUUAAAAGAAACGUCUCUACCGUGUAUGUAGCGUGUACUAUUUGAAAUGCUGCGGGCAGGAAGUGCGUGGGGAGCGGGAGAGACGCUCGAGUCGAGGCUGAGGGGAUGCUCGCAUUACAAUUAUUGAGUUUAGGUUUUUAAAUUAAUGUUUGUCAGUUCUUUUAUUUGUCUCUUUCACGUUAGCUCUGAUUUAUUGAUCUAUUUGUUCGACCAAAAUGACGAAGAAAGUCUGAUCUAAAACUCUUCAAUGUUUGACGACUAAGGACACUUUGCAAUAACAUUACAUGUGACAGUAACCAUUGACAUUACAUUAAUCACAGAAGAUCACAGUUCCAGCUAAAAAUAUUUACUGUUCUACUGAAGAAAUAAAAAAAAGUCAACUUGAAUGGCCUGAUGACUGAAAACAUUCACCUGAGAAGUGUGUCCUGAAGGCCCUUAUCUUUUUCCUGAGAGAAAGUCCUGAAGACCUCAUCAAGGAGUACUUUCUGAGUUGAACGAUAACCCGACAGAUGAUUGAGGAGCAGCUCACCAUGGCGAUGUUCAUUAUUUGGAAGGAGGGGAGAAUUUCAUGAACCAUCUGCUGACAUCGAGGGAGUUAAAGUUUUGAAUCAACUUACUUAAGUUACAUCAGCUUGUGCCCUGCUUCUAGGCCUACAGUUGGAAGCAGCUAUUCUCCUCUUGCCUGCACUGUUCAAGGUGGACCUGGGGUUGCUGUUUGACAUUGAGGGCCAUGCUCAGACCAGCCCUCUUGUCAUCCCAACACCUAAGAUAGUGCCUAAAGCCUGCGGGAGGAUCAUCUCAUGCAGUAUGACCACAUUUUGUUCACGUUGGAUGGCCAGUUAAUCACAGAGUAGAGUGAGGACAUCUUGAUGGCACUGGACCUCCUCCUAUGUGUAUAUUUUGCAUUUGGAAUCGAAUCCAAUCCAGUAUCCUAAAGGACUGAAAAAGACACUGACCUUUUUGAAGUGUGUUGUUUUGAAAUUGAAGGAUGCAGACGGACUUCCUGUCACUGUAAAUUGAGUGUACAACUCAAUCUGAGUAGAAUUUCGGAGUCAAUAUUCUCUCUUGCUCCCUUUCUUAUGGUUUUAGUUCCAGUUUCUAUAUUGUUUUUGAAAUCAUGAAGGACUUACAAAAAUGUUAGUUUCUAUAUUUUGGACUUUUAUUUAUGUUGCCUAGCAGGUUUUUUGUCUUAUUUUUGUUCUUGUACUAUAUUUUUUGUUUUGUACUAUUUGAUUGAUCUUGAGUAAAUAAAUAAUGUACAUUUCUACAUUUUGGACUUUUAUUUAUGUUGCCUAGCAGCUAUGGAUUUUAAUUUUACUAUUAUAGGUGAACA